CCUACGGGAGGCUGCAGUGGGGAAUAUUGGACAAUGGGGGCAACCCUGAUCCAGCCAUGCCGCGUGUGUGAAGAAGGCCCUCGGGUUGUAAAGCACUUUCAGUGAGGAAGAACGCCUGGUGGUUAAUACCCAUCAGGAAAGACAUCACUCACAGAAGAAGCACCGCCUAACUCCGUGCCAGCAGCCGCGGUAAUACGGAGGAUGCGAGCGUUAAUCGGAAUUACUGGGCGUAAAGCGCGCGUAGGUGGCUUGAUAAGCCGGUUGUGAAAGCCCCGGGCUCAACCUGGGAACGGCAUCCGGAACUGUCAAGCUAGAGUGCAGGAGAGGAAGGUAGAAUUCCCGGUGUAGCGGUGAAAUGCGUAGAGAUCGGGAGGAAUACCAGUGGCGAAGGCGGCCUUCUGGACUGACACUGACACUGAGGUGCGAAAGCGUGGGUAGCAAACAGGAUUAGAUACCCCAGUAGUC
rnacentral:rRNA from 1 species